rnacentral:rRNA from 1 species
UACGUAGGUGGCAAGCGUUGUCCGGAAUUACUGGGUGUAAAGGGAGCGUAGGCGGGGUGUCAAGUCAGAAGUGAAAAUUACGGGCUCAACUCGUAACCUGCUUUUGAAACUGAUACUCUUGAGUGAAGUAGAGGCAAGCGGAAUUCCUAGUGUAGCGGUGAAAUGCGUAGAUAUUAGGAGGAACACCAGUGGCGAAGGCGGCUUGCUGGGCUUUUACUGACGCUGAGGCUCGAAAGCGUGGGGAGCAAACA